rnacentral:misc_RNA from 1 species
UCCGGUUUGUCACCGGCAGUCUCCCUAGAGUGCCCUUGCGUAGCAACUAGGGACAAGGGUUGCGCUCGUUGCGGGACUUAACCCAACAUCUCACGACACGAGCUGACGACAGCCAUGCAGCACCUGUGUCGCCGCUCCCUUUCGGGCACCCCCGCCUCUCAGCAGGGUUCGGCGCAUGUCAAGGGUAGGUAAGGUUGUUCGCGUUGCAUCGAAUUAAUCCACAUCAUCCACCGCUUGUGCGGGUCCCCGUCAAUUCCUUUGAGUUUUAACCUUGCGGCCGUACUCCCCAGGCGGAGCACUUCACGCGUUAGCUACGCUACUAGAGGAUCGCUCCCCCAACAGCUAGUGCUCAUCGUUUAGGGCGUGGACUAC